AACCCUAGCAGCCCCCUCUCCUCCGCUUGAUCCAGAUCCGGAUCUCUCUCCUCUGCCGCCGCAACCCAACCAAAGUUUCCCCUCCUUCGUCUCCACUCGAUCCAAUCCUCUUCCCCCGACCCCGAUCCCACCAUCGGCCACCUCCUCGCCGCCGACCUCCGCGCUCUACCGCACCUCCACCACCCUCUCUUCUCCUAUCGUCUCCUUCUCUCCCUACGCGCCGGAUUGAAUCCCUAGCUAGGGCGGCAAUGGCGGGAGGAGGCCAUGGCAGGAGGAGGCCAUGGCAGGAGGAGGCCAUGGCGUUGCUGUCCGCCGCGGCGGCCUGCCGCGCCGCCCCGUCGGCCGUGCCGCUGCUCGACGCGCUCGGCCUCAUCCUCGCGGAGGACGUCCGCGCGCCCGACGCCCUCCCCCCCUUCCGCGCCGCCAUCGACGCUCCCGUCCUACCCCGCCGGGUCUCCGCCGUUUGGACCAAUCACACGCGGAGAAGACGAGAGCUCCACGAUUCCUUCUAGGAGCCAAUCCAAGAACUGGGCCUUCUUGUUCUUGGGAUAACGGAUCGGCCAUGGCGCUGCCGCCACUAAAUGAAGGGGACCUCGCCACGCCGGCCGCGCUGCGGGCGCCGGCGGACGUGAUCUCCCGUGUCUUCUCGCAGCCGGACUGCGUCGACCUCCUCAGCUGCUCCCUCGUCUGCAGAGCUACGAGAAGAGUGGAGGAUGGAGUACAUGGCGCCUGGAACUUGCAGUGCCUCAGUGUCCGGAUAACCCAUCGUCGUGCCCAACUUGCUCCAUCAGAAGCCUGCGAACCUGGUGCCCUUGACCUUCAACCAGGCAGGGCACCAGAGUUGCACUGCCAUAAGUAUAUUCACUGGUGUCCACUGAUCAGUGAUGAAGGUUGAUGAUUACAACUGAACGACUGAAUCAGUCCACUUACACAAUUAAAGAUGGUUGAUCAGUGAUGAAGGUUGAUGAUUACAACUGAAUGACUGAAUCAGUCCACUUACACAAUUAAAGAUGGUUGAAGAACCAUGCUGGAGACAGAAGAACUUGGCUGUUUUGCAGUGUAUAGACCCUGGUCAUUUUAGUAGUAGAAGAAUCCUUACAAGCAUGAAGAUCUAUGCUAGUGUUAUUUACAUGGCGCGAUUUGUGUACUGCUCUAGCGUUGUGAUGUUGAUAUUAUCAUGUCCGAUGUGGGAUGUUGCCGUCCACACGUACUUUUAUCUCGUUGGAACUAUGAUGUUUAUAUAUCUAUGAGUAGGUUCAGUUUUUUGUCCGAGUUGUUCUCUAGUCAACAAUUUGUACUGGUCAAAUUAUGUGUUCUACUUAUGUAUGAUAACAAAAUUAAUAUUAUAGAUAAUAACAGGUGAUAUAGUA